rnacentral:rRNA from 1 species
CCAAUAGCGUAUAUUAAAGUUGUUGCAGUUAAAAAGCUCGUAGUUGAAUUUUGGGUCUGGCCGGGCGGUCCGCCCUCUGGGUGAGCACUGUUCCGACGCCGGGCCUAUCCUUCUGGUGAGUCGGCAUGUCCUUUAUUGGGUGUGUCGGGGAACCAGGACCAUUACCUUGAAAAAAUUAGAGUGUUCAAAGCAGGCGUAUGCUCGAAUACAUUAGCAUGGAAUAAUGAAAUAGGACGCGUGGUGCUAUUUUGUUGGUUUCUAGAACCGCCGUAAUGAUUAAUAGGGAUAGUUGGGGGCAUUAGUAUUCAAUUGUCAGAGGUGAAAUUCUUGGAUUUAUUGAAGACUAACUUCUGCGAAAGCAUUUGCCAAGGAUGUUUUCAUUAAUCAAGAACGAAAGUUAGGGGAUCGAAGACGAUCAGAUACCGUCGUAGUCUUAACCAUAAACUAUGCCGACUAGGAAUCGGGCGAUGUUAUUCUCAUGACUCGCCCGGCGCCUUAUG